GAUGUGGAGCAGUGGUUAGUAUGACUGUCUGCCACGCAGAAGGUUCCGGGUUCAAUUCCCGGUGGUUCA